AGAUGAAAAGAAUGUAUUAUGCUACGUGCCUCAUGGAGUAUUUUCAACUUUGAAUCGCUGAUCUGCAGCCUCAUAUCUCUCAUUCUAAGUCACAGCAAUGGGAAGGGAGAGAAGAGAGGGAGAACUACCGUCGAAAGAGCAGAGACGGAUAGCCAUUGAAACCUUUGAUCUCUUUUAUGGAGUUGAAGUUGUGGAGGCGGUGAAUACUGAUUUUUACAUGCUGGAUGAUGAGACAAAGUGGAAAGUGAUGCCUCCCAUGCCAAAAUAGAACUCACACAUUGAAUUUGCUUGGGUGCUUGUGAACAAUCCUAUAGUUAUUGUUGGAGGCAC